CGGCUAGUUGACAUCGUUUACGGCGUGGACUACCAGGGUAUCUAAUCCUGUUUGCUCCCCACGCUUUCGCACCUCAGUGUCAGUAUCAGUCCAGGUGGUCGCCUUCGCCACUGGUGUUCCUUCCUAUAUCUACGCAUUUCACCGCUACACAGGAAAUUCCACCACCCUCUACCGUACUCUAGCUUGCCAGUUUUGGAUGCAGUUCCCAGGUUGAGCCCGGGGCUUUCACAUCCAACUUAACAAACCACCUACGCGCGCUUUACGCCCAGUAAUUCCGAUUAACGCUUGCACCCUCUGUAUUACCGCGGCUGCUGGCACAGAGUUAGCCGGUGCUUAUUCUGUCGGUAACGUCAAAACAAUCACGUAUUAGGUAACUGCCCUUCCUCCCAACUUAAAGUGCUCUACAAUCCGAAGACCUUCUUCACACACGCGGCAUGGCUGGAUCAGGCUUUCGCCCAUUGUCCAAUAUUCCCCACUGCUGCCUCCCGUAGGAGUCUGGACCGUGUCUCAGUUCCAGUGUGACUGAUCAUCCUCUCAGACCAGUUACGGAUCGUCGCCUUGGUGAGCCAUUACCUCACCAACUAGCUAAUCCGACCUAGGCUCAUCUGAUAGCGCAAGGCCCGAAGGUCCCCUGCUUUCUCCCGUAGGACGUAUGCGGUAUUAGCGUCCGUUUCCGAACGUUAUCCCCCACUACCAGGCAGAUUCCUAGGCAUUACUCACCCGUCCGCCGCUCUCAAGAGAAGCAAGCUUCUCUCUACCGCUC
rnacentral:rRNA from 1 species